GGCUUGGCUAAUAGAAAAUUGCUGUAAAUACUACAAGAGCACAAGGAUGGAUUUAUUUAGUCAGAAAAACCAUCGCUCAUCAGACUUGAAGAAGAGGAAAGGCAGUGGUCAAGUCCAAUUGACAAAAUGUGGUUAAGUGAAUUGUCACAUCUGCAUUCAUUAGCAAAAUUAUUUAGGGGGGUGCAAAAGCGUUCACACCCAGUUCUGGUUUCCACAGGUCAUUGGGUGCCUGUUGCUUAGAAAGGCUCUGACAAGGCAGGCAUGCCAACCUGAUAAUGACUGCUGUGAAGAGCAUAAGAAGUUUCCCUUUGCUUCAAUUCUUUGGAGUCACAGAAGAGACACAGAUAAAGCAGGAGGAUGGAGCUCAGUCGUGGAAUUCAGUAUGUAAAACACCAACCUGAGAAGACAAGUAAUUGAAUUGGCUGGGAGUUUCUGUAGCUGGCAUUGCUUCAACAGCUUCUACAACAGGGCAGUUCUUGUUUUUACCUUUCAAGACUAAUCUCAAAAAAAUUGGAGGGAACUCAAAGAGGAUCCAAAGCAAUGGUUGAAGACCUGGAGGAUAUACAAAGACUCAAAGGAUCUCAACCUAUGUAUUAGGCAUGUAAUAAAGUUAGGAGAGAGUCUGCA
rnacentral:lncRNA from 1 species